rnacentral:lncRNA from 1 species
GAAGUUUUAUCAUCGACUUCCCUUCUCCUCUCGUAGCCCUCCCCACAUUGGGAUAAGUCUUCCCAAAGCUCCACAGUUAGCCUGGGGGUGUCCCUUCCUUGACAGCCCUUGAGGGGCAGAGGGGUUGUGAAAUAGCUAGAUUUUCCAGCCACUCUCAGGCCUUCUCUGCUGGGUCAUCUGCUGGAGCAUCUUUGAGGUCCAGGCUCAAUCUUGUUUUCUAAGUCUAUCCACAUCUGAUCACAGAUGAUGGUUCUUACUGUCUUGGAACAGAAAAACAAAAAAGCCUGACUUGAGAGCUGUUCCUAAUACUUAUGUAGCUGUGUGACUUGGGGGAUGCCCUCAACAUCUCUGAACUCUCUCAUUUAUGGUCCACAGAGGACUGCGUGAGUCGAGACUGUCACUAAAUUCUCAGUGCCUGUGCAGCCAGAGAUGCUCAAUACCCUUGCCACUUGGUGUCUAGGUGAACUGUGCUACUCGGCUGCAGUCUCAGCUGUCCCUACCUGGAACAGUGCCCUGAGAGGGACUCUGAGCCUCUUCACCGACACAGCUCUUCAUCCCCGGUCUCUUGCUCAGGAUGUGCAACAAUCUGGAUUCUUCAUGGAUUCUCCCUAACCGAGAACAAACCAGGAGGGAAGCGAUCAAGCUUUGCUCUCUGUAAAGAUCCUUCAUGCGUGUGGCAUCUACAGUGGUCCCCUUAUCUGUGAUUUUGCUG